GCCCCAGUCAACAGCUGCAAGCCGGUAGGUUAUCUUACUCAGCUGUGGAAGCUUUGUUCUCUCAGUCUUCUCAGUAAAUCUUGCUGCUGCUGACUUUUGGGGUCUGUGCUGCGUAUGAGAGCUGUAACACUCACUGCGAAGGUCUGCAGCUUCACUCGUGAAGUCAGUGAGACCACAAACCCACCAGAAGGAAGAAACUCCGGGCACGUCCAACUGCGGACACACCAUCUUUAAGAACUGUAACACUCGCCGUGAGGGUCUGUGGCUUCAUUCUUGAAGUCAGCGAGACCAAGAACCCAGCAAUUCCAGACACGGCACACAACAAGACAUUCUCCAGAUCACCUGGCAUCUAGCUGGGGCCACAAGGUUUUUUUCUGCCAACGGAAUAUAUGCAGAAGUGAUGUAUAUGACCUCAGAGCCCAGCCUCUAAAUAUCCUGUGUCAUGCUCCACAUUCUGUCCAUUCAUCUCUCAGUUAACUAAAUAGAAGUGAUGCAAGGGAGGACUCCAAGGAAGCCCUAGGGAUCAUGAAGCUACAGAAUGGGAGAAUUGCUGUCACCACAGUUCUGGAAGAAGAAUUGUUCAAGAGAACAGCCAUUGGACUAUGGCAUGCCAAAGAAAUAAACCUCUGUUGUGAAACCACAAUUAAAAGUUGUUCUUCCUGCCUCUGCUUCUUGACCAACCCCUGAGUGGCCCUGUAUAGUGUUCUCCCUAGGAAACUGCAAGCAAGAUGAUAAUUUUUGAGUUAACCUGAUGAGUUUUUGUAGCUGUCAAGAGCUCUAAAAUUGAGCCAAUGAAAGCAAAAUUCAAUAGAAGAAAGCAAAAAAAUGAAGAAGACAGCAUUAAAGGAAAAGAUCAAGCUUUCUAGCAUCAUACUGGCUAUUAAUAAUGCCUUUGGCUUUGGGAUUGGGAUUUUUUGAUGUGACCAAACAGCCAUUUGUGUUCUCAGAAAACUGGAAUAGGAAUAUCCUAUGGUGGAAGAAAAGAAUGGACCAUGAUGAAAAUUUCUACACCAGAAGAAUUUAAAGUAAUUAUGUCCUUCCUCCCCUCUAGCCCCAACUCCCUACCCAUCAUCCCUAAUUUCACUACAUUUGAUACAUCAGUCAAGGGACUGAUGUGAUUUAAAUAGCAAAUAGAGAAUCUUCCAAGAACCCUGCAAGGGACUGAUGUGUUUUAAAUAAGAAAUAGAGAAUCUUCCAAGAACCCUGACUAUUUGAACAUUGCUUCUAUGGUCUGAGCAGCUAAGCCCUUGCCCACCCUUAGUAGGGCAAGGAAGAGACCCUUACUCCUAAGCUUUUGAUGCCAAAUACAUUUGUCUUUCUACUAACAUUAGUGCAAACAAUAAGAUUGAGAUUGUAAACACCUGAAUCUCUUUUAGCUGGCUCACAUUUGAUAGGUAGUAGCUAUGAUCAGAGUAACCUAGUUGCUCAUUAUGUAGUAAACAGUGCCCAGGGCACCCUGGGGCUGUGGAGUGACCUCGUAUGACUAAAUUGCAAAUGAUAACCCUUGAUGAGACAUUUAUAAGUUGGUAUAUUAUUUCUACUUCAAACAGCUACUCUUAACUUAUAUCAUGAUUUUCACAAUGGGGAAAUAACAACUGAAUAACGAACUAAUGGAGGUGAGGGUUUGGAGUGUGUGUGCACUGUGCACUCUCUGAUCACAGCUGGGGUUUUUCCCCUUAAAUUGUUUGAAGCUAUUAUACUAUAUCAUUCUGUAGUAACAAAUGGUGUUGGGAUGAUGAAGAAUUAUUUAAGUGAAACAUUAUAAGUUCUCUAUAAUAAUAACUUCACCGUAUCAUUUUGAAAAGUCACAUAAUAGAGACAUCUAAAAUGUCGUAUUCAGUGGCAGUGUACUCAUCAGACCAGGGCAGUAAAACAAGAUGCUCCACUGAGAUUUUGAAUAGAAUGUAAUGGUCUUUGUGCAUAGAUGUGAGUGGAUCCAAGGGAACCAACAAGUAUGUUGAGGUACCCAGGGACUCAGAACCCAUUACUGCCCAUGGGCAUGAGAGGCUAAAGAGAGAUCAUGAUGUCACUAGAGCCCAGUGACAGAGUCAAGAAAGGAGGAGAGCAUGACAAAAGCAACCACUGACAGAGCCCCCAAAGUUGAGGAAGAGAGAGAGUAAACAGUAUCUUGACCUCUCCCUGCUUCCACUCUCAGAUCCCCUUCCUGUGUCUUACCACUGGCAGAUCCAACCAGAAGCCAAAGGGAAAAAGUGCUCCAUUUCUGUAGUCAGUAAGAGUAAAUUUCUGGAGCAAACGCAAGGUAGAAAAGGGUAAGCAGAUUAGGGGUAAAGGCGUGGCACGAAAUGUGGAAUAAUCACAACUCCUCACUGCUGGUGAGCCCUAGUGUUUGCUUUUGGUCCUGCUCAACAUUUUUAACCACUUGGGUAAAGAAAUAGUGCCAGAAUAUCAGACUGUGAAUAGCAAAAAGCUGAAAUCUGUGAUUAACCAACAAGUUUUCUGUCUAUCAAGAUGCAAAAUUAUCUUGACAGAUAGAAAUCUACAAAAUAAAAGUUUAUAAGAAAAUUAGAUAAGUUUCCCAGUUAGGAUAAUAAAAAGCUUUUUUUCAGGACAAUGGGAGGGGUGGGAAAAGUGCUUGAUAACAAUACACAUCCUAAAAGAUGUGAAUGUCAGUUGAUGAUGGGUCAUGAUUGCUUACAAAGCAAAUGUAAUUUGAGGUUGCACUUUCAUUGGCUGCUAGACAUCUCCAGCUGCCUAUUCCACAUGUUCCUCAAAUGCAGCUUGCCAAAGCCUAAUCCUGUUACCUUCCCAAUCUCCCUGUGAAACUGUUUGAACUCCUCUGUUCUUUCUUUGGUUAUCGGUAUACCGCCCACACGGAUCUCAGCUAGGAGUCUUGGAAUUAUCACAUUUCUCCUUCCCGUCCCAUGUUUAAUGCAUCACUAAAUCAUGCUGAUUCUAUCUCAAGACAUCACCUGAAUACCCAAUUUUAUUUCUGUACUCCAUUGUCCUUGCCUUUUUCAAGCCCCACUGUUUCCAGUCUCUAGACUUCUAUACCAGCUUUCUCAUUUUCGUGACUUCAGUCCAUUCUCCCUACAGCUGUCAGUUACCUUCAGAUAAACAAAUGGGCAUUUGUCAGUCCUAAUUUUAUAAACUCUCUUCUCAUGGUGGUAUUUAGGACUAAGGGCGGACUCAUUAUUUAGUAUAAAAGACACAUUCCAGUCUCAUGUCCAUGUAGGACUUGACUUCUAGUACAUACACAUCUUUACUCCAGCAACAAAGAACUGCUGUUCUGAAGAUACCACAAGGCUUUGUGCUUUUGUGCUUGUGUAUUCCCUCUGCCUGAAGUGCUUCUCCUCCUCUGCCACUCUUGAUACACCCAUAUUCAGCUUUCCUGACACCUCCCAAGCAUCUACCUCUGAUUUCCUCCUAGAAAAUGUGCAGCCACAGUUCUUUGCUCUAACUUUUGCAAUAACACUUGCCUGUUUGUAUGUAUCCUUCCACCACUAUUUCUAAUUUAUUUUUACUCCACUAGCACUCAGUAGAAUAUCUUCCAUAUAGAUUUCAUCCAAUCUAAUUCCAUUAGAUUUCAACUAAAUCUUUGUUGACUUAUGAGUGCAUUAAUUAAUUAAUUGAAAUGUAUUGUCUAGAAUAUAGAAGCUAAUGAUAUUCACUACAUUGGUCAGGCUAUGUGUAUUUUGCUUGACUUGGCCAUUUUAAGAAAUCCACAAACUAUAUUAUAACCAGAAGAUGACACAUGGCAUAGAGACCAUAUCAUAUUUGGUCCUUCUAUUGGUCUUUCUUCUGAAAUAGGAAUAAGAUAAUUUAUUCUGAGGUUACCUCAUAUUUCUAAUCAUAUAACAAUAUCAAGGCAAAAGUAGUCCUCAUGUUAUGAAGUUGAAAUACAGCUAUGCAGCACAUAAUGACAUUCCAGUCAAAGAAGGACUAUAUAUACCAUGGUGGUCUCAUAAGAUUUUAAUGGAGCUGAAGAAUUUGUAUCCCCUAGUGAUAUUGUAGCCCUGUAACAUUGUAGGACAAUGCAUUAUUCAUGUUUUUGUGAUGAUGCUGGUAUAAACAAACCUACUGUGAUGACUGUCAUAUAAAAGUACAGCACACACAAUUAUAUAUAGUACCCAAUACUUGAUAAUAAAUGAUUGUGUUACUGGUUUAUG